ACACUUAGAGUCGAUAUAGAGAUCAGACUCAAGGAAGGGCUGACCCGUGGAAUGGUGGGCGCAAGGGCCACCAUCAACUCAAUGCAAAAACGAGGAGCGGAGCAACUUGGGUGUAACUUGGUGAAGUACCCAAGCCGUAUGAAGGGAGCUAACAUAGAAGAUCGAACAUGGAGUGGAGGCCCAGAGCUUUCCUUGGACAGAGGUCAAGGACAUAAACUCUUG
rnacentral:lncRNA from 1 species